GGGUCAGUAGGUUGGUCGUGCCACCGGUACGUACUGGUCUCACUGAUUCCUCCUUCCUGAAUAACCGUAAUGCCAUUAAUUUGGUGUUGCGGGGAAACAGGACUGUUACUUUGAAAAAAUUAGAGUGUUUAAAGCAAGCUAACGCUUGAAUACAUUAGCAUGGAAUAAUGAAAUAGGACGAUCGAUCCUAUUUUGUUGGUUCCUAGGAUUGACGUA
rnacentral:rRNA from 1 species